CGAGACCUUCCCUUCGUCCAUUUUGGAGGAGCUUCUUCCCUGCUGUGUCGACCACGAUGACCAUGAAUGGCGUGGGCUCAUGGGAAGGUAAGGAUGCAAUUUAUAGUGCUUUUCCUAAAGCAUGCAUGGAAAUCGAUUGAUCUAUUUUGGCCAGUUUCGUAUUUGAAUGAAUUUCACUUGAAUUAAAUAUUAGGUUAAACACGGCUCCUUAUGUGUGCACAAUACUCUAUCUGCGUUAUUGGAUGCUUUUUACAUGCUAGUUUGUGCCACUUGAAUGUGGACCUGAUAUUAGAUUAGGGAACCCGGUUAACUAGAACCGUAAUCUCUAUGAAACUGCUUAGUUCAUCUUUAUUACAUGAAUGUAAUGCAUGGGUCCUUUUAUAAAGAACUUGAGUUUAAUUGAUCCAGGAUCUUACUCCUCUGGUGUAGGCCUGAAUUAUGGUCUACCACACCAAGAAGUAACUGCAGCAUUUGUGUGCUGAAUGUAUGAAUCGACAUCCGGUGCUACUGUGAUGACUUCUGAAUUCUCUCUUCCUGAAUUGCUUUGAUGUAACCGUUCUAAACUGAGUAGCAUUGGAUAUCUAGCACACAGUGCCAAGCAUUAAUGUUAGUGCUUGUGUUCGUGAAUGCUGACACUUAUUAAAGCGUUUGUUUUGCAGUUUCCGUGCCAUCUGCUGGGAUGAGUAGAUCAAGAUCGGUUAAAUUCAAGGUGAGUUCUUCUAGUGUUGAGGGUCCUCUUUUAAGAUUGAACAUUUUAAAUGAUGAUUACAAAAGACAAGCAUAUGUCUGAUUUCCAGUGAUGUUUGCCAUUUUUUUCUGACACGAGGCAGAUGACUGGAGUCCAGUUACUUCCCUGUUGCAGUAACUAAUUGUUCCGUUUUAUUUUAAGGCCUCCUUCACAUGAACUUUGAGAGCAUGAUGACCAUGGGUUGUGUUUGUAGUGUUGGCACAAUGAGCUCUCACCAAAGACCUGGAACUCCCAAGGUACUUCUGUCGUUAGUAACUGGCAGUGACUUUUCUUUUGAGUUUUUAUUAAGAUUGCAAAAUAAAUGGCUCUCUUGUAUUUGCAGUUUCAAAUAGUUGCAUCCCCGAGUCAUCACCUUUUGCAUUGAUGUUUGUAUCGGAUUUUCAGUGAUCUAAAUAAAUGUGAUCCUUUUAAAUGAAAUUCUGCUUGGUC
rnacentral:lncRNA from 1 species